rnacentral:siRNA from 1 species
AUGCUGCAUCUUCCUCUUCCUU